GUGGGGAAUAUUGGACAAUGGGCGAAAGCCUGAUCCAGCCAUGCCGCGUGUGUGAAGAAGGCCUUUUGGUUGUAAAGCACUUUAAGCGAGGAGGAGGCUACUUAGAUUAAUACUCUAGGAUAGUGGACGUUACUCGCAGAAUAAGCACCGGCUAACUCUGUGCCAGCAGCCGCGGUAAUACAGAGGGUGCGAGCGUUAAUCGGAUUUACUGGGCGUAAAGCGUGCGUAGGCGGCUUUUUAAGUCGGAUGUGAAAUCCCUGAGCUUAACUUAGGAAUUGCAUUCGAUACUGGGAAGCUAGAGUAUGGGAGAGGAUGGUAGAAUUCCAGGUGUAGCGGUGAAAUGCGUAGAGAUCUGGAGGAAUACCGAUGGCGAAGGCAGCCAUCUGGCCUAAUACUGACGCUGAGGUACGAAAGCAUGGGGAGCAAACAGGAUUAGAAACCCGAGUAGUCC
rnacentral:rRNA from 1 species